UACGUAGGGGGCAAGCGUUGUCCGGAAUCAUUGGGCGUAAAGCGCGUGUAGGCGGUCCUGUAAGUCGGCUGUGAAAGUCCAGGGCUCAACCCUGGGAUGCCGGUGGAUACUGUCGGGCUCGAGUCCGGAAGAGGAGUGUGGAAUUCCUGGUGUAGCGGUGAAAUGCGCAGAUAUCAGGAGGAACACCAAUGGCGAAGGCAGCACUCUGGGACGUGACUGACGCUGAGACGCGAAAGCGUGGGGAGCAAACAGG
rnacentral:rRNA from 1 species